CCAAGUGAUGAUCAUGUAAAAAGGUGCAGUCACCAUUGUUUUUGCAUGACCAAAGCACCCAUCUUCCUCAACUGUAGUCCAUUGUUCUCCCCACCCUGCUUUCUACCCACUCCUUUCUUGGAUGCCUCAUAUCUAUGGAUUUGGGAUCCUGUAUCUCUCCUAUUGGGACCAAAAUGCUUUGGAUGAUGAUCCAACCACAUAUCUAUAAAGAACAUAGCCAUGCUACCAUGAAGUGUAGCUCUGAAGUUCCAGAGGAUGAUGGAUUUUCCCUGGAGUUGGAAAGUUUGCUGCAAGUGGCACUCAGGCCAGCCAGCAGCAAUCCUGCUCAUUUGCCCCAGAAGUGGCACCACAACACGGGAAGAGCAUUGCAUAUUUUCUGCCCUGCUGCUUGCUGACAGAGGCUUAACAGUACAGAUGUGGAACAGCCUUGGAAAUCAGCCAAUGUAAAUGAACGGAAACACUCAUCGUUUGCCCACAUUGCACCACUGACCCGGGCGUUGAACGGAAUCCAGGUCUGAUUUUACUUCCUCUGGCCUUUCACUAAAUAUUAAA